GAUGAACGCUGGCGGCGUGCCUAAUACAUGCAAGUCGAGCGAACGGACGAGAAGCUUGCUUCUCUGAUGUUAGCGGCGGACGGGUGAGUAACACGUGGAUAACCUACCUAUAAGACUGGGAUAACUUCGUUAAACCGUAGCUAAUACCGGAUAAUAUUUUUAACCGCAUGGUUCAAAAGUGAAAGACGGUCUUGCUGUCACUUAUAGAUGGAUCCGCGCUGCAUUAGCUAGUUGGUAAGGUAACGGCUUACCAAGGCAACGAUGCAUAGCCGACCUGAGAGGGUGAUCGGCCACAAUGGAACUGAGACACGGUCCAGACUCCUACGGGAGGCAGCAGUAGGGAAUCUUCCGCAAUGGGCGAAAGCCUGACGGAGAAACGCCGCGUGAGUGAUGAAGGUCUUCGGAUCGUAAAACUCUGUUAUUAGGGAAGAACAUAUGUGUAAGUAACUGUGCACAUCUUGACGGUACCUAAUCAGAAAGCCACGGCUAACUACGUG
rnacentral:rRNA from 1 species